AAGAUGCUAGUAUAAAUAUAUUACACUGCCUUGUCAAGGCAAAAUUGUAGGUUAAAAUCCUGCGCAUCUUA
rnacentral:tRNA from 1 species